UACAGAGGGUGCAAGCGUUGUUCGGAAUUAUUGGGCGUAAAGGGUAGGUAGGUGGUCUCAUUUGUCUGGGGUGAAAGCCUUGAGCUUAACUCAAGAAGUGCCCCGGAAACGGUGAGACUGGAGUCCUGGAGAGGGUCGUGGAAUUCCCGGUGUAGCGGUGAAAUGCGUAGAGAUCGGGAGGAACACCAGUGGCGAAGGCGACUUUCUGGCCUAUAACUGACGCUGGAGGCGCGAAAGCGUGGGGAGCAAACAGG
rnacentral:rRNA from 1 species